rnacentral:rRNA from 1 species
GUGUCAGCAGCCGCGGUAAUACGGGGAAGGCAAGUGUUGCUCGGAUUUACUGGGCGUAAAGCGCGUGCAGGCGGCUUGGUAAGUCGGACGUGAAAGCUCCCGGCUCAACUGGGAGAGGCCGUUCGAAACUACCAGGCUAGAGGACAGUAGAGGGAGGUGGAAUUCCGGGUGUAGCGGUGAAAUGCGUAGAUAUCCGGAGGAACACCAGUGGCGAAGGCGGCCUCCUGGACUGCUCCUGACGCUCAGACGCGAAAGCUAGGGGAGCGAACGGGAUUAGACACCCCGGUAGUCCUAGCUGUAAACGAUGCAGACUUGGUGUUGGUCGUUUAAAAACGAUCAGUGCCGAAGCUAACGCGAUAAGUCUGCCGCCUGGGGACUACGGCCGCAAGGCUAAAACUUAAAGGAAUUGGCGGGG